UGAUGGGCUCGGGAUCCUCGUCAUUUACUGUGAGCAAAAUAGAGUGUUCAAAGCAGGCUUAUGCCGUUGAAUACAUUAGCAUGGAAUAAUAAGAUAAGACCUUGGUCUAUUUUGUUGGUUUGUACUCCAAGGUAAUGAUUAAUAGGGAUAGUUGGGGGUAUUCGUAUUCAAUUGUCAGAGGUGAAAUUCUUGGAUUUAUGGAAGACGAACUACUGCGAAAGCAUUUACCAAGGAUGUUUUCAUUAAUCAAG
rnacentral:rRNA from 1 species